rnacentral:rRNA from 1 species
UGCGUAGGCGGCUUUUUAAGUCGGAUGUGAAAUCCCUGAGCUUAACUUAGGAAUUGCAUUCGAUACUGGAAAGCUAGAGUAUGGGAGAGGAUGGUAGAAUUCCAGGUGUAGCGGUGAAAUGCGUAGAGAUCUGGAGGAACACCGAUGGCGAAGGCAGCCAUCUGGCCGAGUACUGACGCUGAGGUACGAAAGCAUGGGGAGUAAACAGGAUUAGAUACCCUCGUA